GUGACUCUUCGUGUAAAUCAAAUGGAGACGAGGUGACAAUUGUCACGUCACCGGUGAGAGAGUUACGUGGCUCACAGAAUAGGGGUGAUGGAGAGUCACCUCACUCGCGGCGCAGAAUAAGAGGGCCUCUCUACUGCUGAUGUCGUAAUUCCCCCAAUGUAAUAGGGUAACUGGUGCACCAAAUUGAAAUGUAGCAAGCUAUGGCAAAAAUUUCGUCGGCAAACUGAUUUUAGGCUGGAUCAGAAUGCUUCUGAAAAAAGAUAGGUAAUCGUUCAAAAGAGAAAGAGGGAAACUGCUGCUCAAAACGCAAAAUGCAAUCAUUCGGAUAGAACAUGAAUUAUGGGCCUAGUUCCUCACAUAAGGUAGGAAGAGGUUAGGCUUAGGGCUUGCCUCAGAAGAAGGUUUCAAUUUAACAUUAACGUAUCAUACACCUGGCUCUGAUUACCCGCCGAGAGAGACAGGACAACACUUUAAAAACUUUAUGUAAAACGAGAAUUACAUACGGGGCUGUGGCGAAGAAUACAUGCGUGAACAAGGUAGAGCUCCACCGUCUGGGAGAGAUACCCCGACGGCAGAAAAAAUAGCCAACGAUGAGAGCGCUAGAUUUGGUUGUACAGUUGGGCGUCAUUCAGGAAAGUGAUCAGCGCAGCCAACGUCGAGGGGUCGUAACCAAGCAGAUUACUGACGUUCUCCGGGAGUCCAUGUUGUUCGCGUAGCUUCCGGAACUCCGGGCAGACACACAGCACGUGUUCCACCGAGGCGGGGAUGCUGCAAAUUAAACAAACCUUGCGGAAAGGUGUCCCACCGAAAUUACAGGAAAUCCUGGCAUGGCCGGACCGGAGACUUGAAGUGAUCCGCUGGUCCUUAUACUUGUGGCUGUCCAUCAAGGGUCGUACGGUAUCCUGGAUCUUCCUCAGGAAAGUGGUCCGCGUCUGGAGCCAUUCCUGCUGCCAGGUUUCCAUGAUUGUGUUCGUUAUCCAACGCCUGACGUCUAAGAGGGGUACGUUCCUGGUGUAGCGGGGACCAGAUCCCGCCAGUCUGUCCGCAGUCUCGUUUCCGGGAACACCGCAGUGUCCGGGAAUCCACGUAAAGACGGUUAAAGCAUAAAGGUACCGGGCGCUUGUAUCCAGGGGUGGCUCGGGGCUGCAGCUUCCAGCGCCUGGAUGACGCAGUAAGAGUCCGUUAACACGAGGAUCGGUCGAUCUGCCGGAGUGAUUGCUGCGGCUUCCGCAGAAAAGACGGAACAUUCCUCCGGUAGAUUUUGACUUAUUGCAGUGUUCGGUUCUGCUACUCCGAGUCCAAUUCCAGCCUGCGACCGCGAUCCGUCUGUAAAGCGAUGAACAUGCCCCGGAUAGACGGACCCGAGAAGCUCUGCAACAGAGGAGUUAUCUCCGGCUUCUUCUUCUUCUUCUUCUUCGCAUUUAAAGCUUAUUGCAUAUCGCAUAUUAGCUUAUUGCGUGCUCUCAACUUAGUGUUCUAGAUGCACUUCCACAGUUAUUAAUUGAGAGCUUUCGAUGGCUGUAUGCAUUGGUAUAAUUGUGUGGCAAGUCCAAUCAUACUUCUAUGCCCAGGGAAGUCGAGAAAUUUUCCAACCCGAAAAAUUACUAGACCGUACCAGGAAUUGAACACAGCCACCUCCAGCAUGGUCUUACUUUGUAGCUGCGCCUUUGCCGACUGAGUUAAGGGAGGCCCCCAGCUUCCUGGGUGGCUUCUUGCUUAUCUCCGGCUUGGAAUCCACUUUUAAUCCGCUUAUCUAUUUUGAUAACGUUUGAUCGCCAACUGUUCUCUCCAUGCCAGUGGACCCUGGCCACCGGGGGAGGUCAAGGUUGACUGUAGUGCGGAGGGCUCUGUUCCCCUCCUUGAAGAGAAAUACCCUAUCGUUCCCGGAUGUUUUAGCGGCAAGGGCAGCGGCUUUUGUGGCAAUGGCGGCAGCAGACCGAAAGCGGAAAGGGAGGAUUCCGAUUUCCACACAUGUGGCGUCUGCAGGCGUGGAAGGGCCGGAUACGAUGCGUACGUAGGUAUUGUAUGUUGGAGCGAGGAUGCGGUUGAACUUCUCGGUGGCUAGGCAACACGAAGGCGGAUCUCACGGUUGCUGGAGCGGUGCGGGCGGGAGAUCGUCCUCACGAUAUUGAUGCGGAUACGACAGUUUUCUUUCACCAUCCUGAAGUGCUGAUCGAAGCUUAGGGUGCGAUCCAGAACUACCCCCAGAACACGCACUGUUUUCUUUUUUUUUACUAGUUCGUUUAUUUUGAAAGCUCAACCGCGUUAGCUUUACGGAGCCGACAAUUCAUGGUUCUUUGUUUGUAACAAAAUUCUCUUAAUUCUAUGUCUAGUAUGAGUUGGGCCGAAUACUUGCGGCUUACUCGGUUAGAGAGGUACAUUGUCGCCAGUAUGAACGGUAGUGCGGUUCUAGUUUCGUCUGGAGUUCGACCGGCUAUGGUGACCAGUGGGCGACGAUGAGACUCAUCGAGACGGGGGGACAAGACAAACAAAAACUAUUAAAGAGAGAAAAAAGAUACUUAUACUAGACAUUUGAAGAAACACAUAAACCGACUGCAUAUAGCAGAUAUCGCGAGUUCCCAACACGUCUCUGAUAGGAACAUAGGGUUGUCUUCCUUGGGCCACGAGGAUAUUCAAAAGUCGCUCUCUGGCGGUGUCAUUAUCCGUACACUGCCAAACUGCGUGAUCGAUGUCAUCGUAACCGUUUCCACGCCGACGAGGUUUAUUCUAUUGAGAUGAUCACUGUUUUCUUGAACGGAAUCGGAUGAUCUUGGAUGGUGAUCGGUGGUCCCCGAAUCAGAUGGCCCGAGUGGCGGAUAUGGCACCGUACACUCUUUGGUGCGGAGAGCUGGAAGCCAACCGAAAACGCCCACCUGCUGACGGCGGAGACUGCUGCUUGGGCUAUAUUCCUAGUCCUGGAAACCAGAAAAAACUGACAUUUUGCCACGUUUUAUUCGGUGUAUUGUUACAGAAGGAUGCCGCACUUUUCAACGGAAUUUUGCAAAUUAAGCGUAACUAUUUGUCUUAACUGCUAACUCAUCCACGCAAACAAAAAUCAUCAUUAGGUAGGGGAAUCUUUCCCCUACUAGCUGGUGAUGUUAUAGCGAAUUCCAGUGCUAGCAGUUGCCACAAAUCGUCGAUUGGUUACUAAAUCAGAUACGUAGAUUUGAAUAGUUACGCUUGAAAUAAUGACUACCGAUACGGUCAAAUCAAAAGUCACUCGAAGUAAAUACAAAAUUGCGGGUUUCCAAACCUUGCAGACAAAAUAACUUAGCUGGCCGUGCAAAUUUACUUUUAUUCUCUUUGCGCGUCUUUUAUAAAACAUCGUCUCUGGCAAAAUACUGUCUUUGGCAUGGCCCUGACACAUAUCGGCUCACUUCAGUUGAUGCGGAUAUUUGUAUUUUCCUUCGUUUAAAGUAUUCUCAUUGUGAACAACCAGGCUGGGUUGAUGCUCGUUUGUACUUGAUUGUAUCGUGAGUGGAGUAGUUGAAAUCAAAGCGUGUUGAUUUAAGGUGAGCGGAGUCCAAAUCUGCCAACAGUCUUCUUCUUCAUUCCUUUAUUUAACGUCGUUCUCUGUUCCACACAAGGUGACUACAUAUAGGUGUUCUAAUGUGUCAAAUUCAUGAUUCAGCCAUGUUGGAUUUUUGUAUGGGACAGCGACCGAGUUUGUUUACAAUUUGAUCUAAAACCGCACUUCCCUCCCCCCGCCGCCACGACCUCCUCGCCUAUAUAGUGACAAAGCUGUAUCACCAUUUAUAUACCCACCAUGGUUCCGCAAUCUAGUGCCAAUCACUGACUGACAUCGAUUGCCAUCCAUUGACGGCAUUCGAAUGUGCAGGAAGGC